AGUGAACGCUGGCGGUAGGCCUAACACAUGCAAGUCGAACGGCAGCACAGUAAGAGCUUGCUCUUACGGGUGGCGAGUGGCGGACGGGUGAGGAAUACAUCGGAAUCUACUUUUUCGUGGGGGAUAACGUAGGGAAACUUACGCUAAUACCGCAUCCGACCUACGGGUGAAAGCAGGGGAUCUUCGGACCUUGCGCGAUUGAAUGAGCCGAUGUGGGAUUAGCUAGUUGGCGGGGUAAAGGCCCACCAAGGCGACGAUCCGUAGCUGGUCUGAGAGGAUGGUCGGCCACACUGGAAGUGAGACACGGUCCAGACUCCUACGGGAGGCAGCAGUGGGGAAUAUUGGGCAGUGGGCGCAAACCUGAUCCAGCCAUACCGCGUGGGUGAAGAAGGCCUUCGGGUUGUAAAGCCCUUUUGUUGGGAAAGAAAAGCAGCAGGUUAAUACCCCGCUGUUCUGACGGUACCCAAAGAAUAAGCACCGGCUAACUUCGUG
rnacentral:rRNA from 1 species